AUUGAACGCUGGCGGCAGGCCUAACACAUGCAAGUCGAGCGGCAGCGGAAAGUAGCUUGCUACUUUGCCGGCGAACGGCGGACGGGUGAGUAAUGUCUGGGAAACUGCCCGAUGGAGGGGGAUAACUACUGGAAACGGUAGCUAAUACCGCAUAACGUCGCAAGACCAAAGAGGGGGACCUUCGGGCCUCUUGCCAUCGGAUGUGCCCAGAUGGGAUUAGCUAGUAGGUGGGGUAACGGCUCACCUAGGCGACGAUCCCUAGCUGGUCUGAGAGGAUGACCAGCCACACUGGAACUGAGACACGGUCCAGACUCCUACGGGAGGCAGCAGUGGGGAAUAUUGCACAAUGGGCGCAAGCCUGAUGCAGCCAUGCCGCGUGUAUGAAGAAGGCCUUCGGGUUGUAAAGUACUUUCAGCGGGGAGGAAGGUGUUGAGGUUAAUAACCUCAGCAAUUGACGUUACCCGCAGGAGAAGCACCGGCUAACUCCGUGCCAGCCGCCGCGGUAAGAC
rnacentral:rRNA from 1 species